GCUACUCUGCUGACGAGCGGCGGACGGGUGAGUAAUGCCUAGGAAUCUGCCUAGUAGUGGGGGAUAACUUGCCGAAAGGUAAGCUAAUACCGCAUACGUCCUACGGGAGAAAGCAGGGGACUCUUCGGAGCCUUGCGCUAUUAGAUGAGCCUAGGUCGGAUUAGUUAGUUGGUGAGGUAAUGGCUCACCAAGACAGCGAUCCGUAACUGGUCUGAGAGGAUGAUCAGUCACACUGGAACUGAGACACGGCCCAGACUCCUACGGGAGGCAGCAGUGGGGAAUAUUGCACAAUGGGGGAAACCCUGAUGCAGCCAUGCCGCGUGUGUGAAGAAGGCCUUCGGGUUGUAAAGCACUUUCAGUGGUGAGGAAAGGUAGAAGCUUAAUACGUUUUUACUGUGACGUUAACCACAGAAGAAGCACCGGCUAACUUCGUGCCAGCAGCCGCGGUAAUACGAGGGGUGCAAGCGUUAAUCGGAAUAACUGGGCGUAAAGCGCACGCAGGCGGUUUGUUAAGCCAGAUGUGAAAGCCCCGAGCUCAACUCGGGAACUGCAUUUGGAACUGGCAAACUAGAGUCUUGUAGAGGGGGGUAGAAUUUCCAGUGUAGCGGUGAAAUGCGUAGAGAUUGGAAGGAAUACCAGUGGCGAAGGCGGCCCCCUGGACAAAGACU
rnacentral:rRNA from 1 species